CUCUAGAACACUCCGGAAGGACCAGUCCAAUUGCGGCAAAGUCUGCUGCUAAGGCCACUGGGAGGUUCCCACAGAGCUGCCUGGAGUAACUGUGACCAUGGUCACUUUACAGACAAGGAAACGGAGGAGCAGUCAGGGAUUGUCACUUGGCCCCCAAGCCACAGAGAGCAGGGACAAGAGAAGACCCAGUGAGUCUGACUUCUCUGCACUGCCCUGGCUCUGGAGCCCGAGAAGGGAGGGCCAACUCCAGCGCCCAGGGACUGGGACCCAGGAGCCAGUCCUUCAUCUGCUGCUCCCUCAAAGGCAAACAACCAUCUACGUCUGACAAGUAAAACGCAGCACACCUCCCGCUGUUCGUGACAGCUGCUACACAGGAGAGGCUAAUUUUGGAAACAGAUUAUUAAAACAUAUAUCCACUCUGAA